ACCAAGGGCCGGAAGUGACGCCGCUGGCCCACUUGAGGCGUAGGGGGUGGCGCUCUCCGUUCGGCCGCGCUCCCAUGGCGCACAUUACCAUUAACCAGUACCUGCAGCAGGUGUAUGAAGCCAUCGACACCAGAGAUGGAGCAUCUUGUGCAGAGUUGGUGUCUUUUAAACAUCCUCAUGUUGCAAACCCACGACUUCAGAUGGCCUCUCCAGAGGAGAAGUGUCAACAAGUCUUGGAACCCCCUUAUGAUGAAAUGUUUGCAGCUCAUUUAAGGUGCACUUAUGCAGUGGGGAAUCAUGACUUCAUAGAGGCAUACAAGUGCCAGACCGUGAUAGUCCAAUCAUUCUUGCGAGCAUUCCAGGCCCACAAAGAAGAAAACUGGGCUCUGCCUGUCAUGUAUGCAGUAGCGCUUGACCUUCGAGUGUUUGCCAAUAAUGCAGAUCAGCAGUUGGUAAAGAAAGGAAAAAGCAAAGUUGGGGACAUGUUGGAAAAAGCAGCAGAGUUACUGAUGAGCUGUUUCCGGGUCUGUGCCAGUGACACCCGUGCUGGUAUAGAGGACUCUAAGAAGUGGGGCAUGCUGUUUCUGGUGAACCAGCUGUUUAAAAUCUACUUCAAGAUCAACAAACUCCAUUUAUGUAAACCCCUAAUUAGAGCAAUUGACAGCUCAAACCUGAAAGACGAUUACAGCACUGCACAGAGAGUAACAUACAAAUACUAUGUUGGACGCAAGGCCAUGUUUGACAGCGACUUUAAGCAAGCUGAGGAGUACCUGUCAUUUGCCUUUGAGCAUUGUCACCGUUCUAGUCAGAAGAACAAAAGGAUGAUUCUGAUCUAUUUGCUUCCAGUAAAAAUGCUAUUGGGUCACAUGCCCACUGUGGAGCUCCUGAAAAAGUAUCACCUGAUGCAGUUUGCAGAAGUAACCAGAGCUGUGAGUGAGGGCAACCUGCUGCUGCUGCACGAGGCGCUGGCGAAGCACGAGGCCUUCUUCAUUCGCUGCGGGAUCUUCCUCAUCCUGGAGAAGCUGAAGAUCAUCACCUACAGGAACCUCUUUAAGAAAGUGUAUUUGUUACUGAAAACACACCAGCUGUCUCUGGAUGCUUUUCUGGUUGCCUUGAAAUUCAUGCAGGUGGAAGACGUGGACAUUGACGAAGUUCAGUGUAUUCUGGCUAACUUGAUAUACAUGGGUCACAUCAAAGGCUACAUAUCGCAUCAGCAUCAGAAGCUAGUGGUCAGCAAGCAGAACCCAUUUCCUCCACUGUCCACAGUGUGUUGAAAGUACACGUAGCCCUGAGGACGGGGUAGCACCUUGUUGCAGUAUCCUCGCGUGGGAGAAGAGAUGGAAGGGGCUGGCAGAGCCCUCGUGGCCUAGUCACCUCCCGAGGGCCCCACCUCCCCAUAUCAUCAUCUUGGGGUAAGUUCCAAUUUCGGAGUUUUGAAGGGACACACACUCCAGCCACAACAGUGCUGGGCGUUGCCCUAGCUGCCCAUCAGCCCAUUGGUGAGGUGCUGGGACUCCACCCUGGGCGACCCUGAGGCAUGAAGAGGUGGAGCAGUUGUCCAAGAGCCACAUGGUGGGACGAGCAGAGAGCUGGGUCUCAGUGCUCAGCCCUGACCUGGGGCCCCGGAACUUUCUGUGGGAACCCUCCCAGAGAAGGGCGGGUGCACAACCCCGUGAGACGCCGGCACGCCUCCUCAGCCUCUCUUGUGCUCUCUGGCCCUUUCCUCUAAUGCUGCCUCUCUGGGGUACCCACAGAGUCAUUCUCCUCCAUUGCCAACCUGCUUCUAGUGGCUGCUUCUGCACUGAGCCAUGGUCCUCAGUCACAGUGGCAAUUGGUGAACCAACAGAGGAGGUCACUUUCUGCUGUAACCAGUGAUUGCUGUCGCUUCUGCGCCAGAACACACUCACCUGUGUGCAGGCUGGGGUGGCUAUUCCCUGAGCACAGAGAAUACUGGACUUGGAGAAGGAAAGAAUUUCUGGAAACCAGGCUGUUUUAUGACUGACAGAUUAUCUUAUUAUUUAAUGUAUCUCAUGUUUUAAGGUCUCUGUUGAGAUAAAGAGUUCCAGGGAAAGAAAGGUCACAGUGCUCGGUAAAUGACCCAGCAAGCGGCGGCUCUGCUGCUGCAUGGGCUGAGCGGGUGGUCCAGGGCUGUGAUGGCCUCUAAGUGUGUGAUGAAGUUUCAGUGCCCUCCAUGGUGGCAGUGCCAGCUUGGUAUCCCACUUCCGGUUGUGUUGUUCUUUCUGGCUGAGUUUCAGUUAGUUCAUGAUCUGUUUAAACCAGAGUGAGUACCUAGAGACCUUGGUGACAAGGACCAUGCGAGUUUGCUCUCCUGCUGGCUGCGAGCCCAGGACCCCCGUGAGGAACCAGGAGCCUCCGUGUUCUCUGGUGACCACACUUCCCUCCAUCCAGUGCAUGGCCGCCAUGCUGCUUCUCUCACAGUAGGUCCUGGUGGUGACGGUCACAUUCAGGACCUGUCCGCACUCCUCCCCCUCCACAAGUGUGACAGGCAGCAUGGUCAGCGAGUUGCCCAGAUCAGUGCCAUUGCGUGCCCAGCCGCUGAGGAGGCCCCUGGUGCGCGGGAUGAGGAGGUGCUCAGCGAAGUCCUUCUCAGGGGUGCACACGGGGAGCCCUGCACCUGGGCACUGGAUGGGCCACUCCAGCUCCAGCAGUGACAGGUCAUUCUCCCCUGUGUCCGCGUCAUACCGCAUGUGCACAUGGACGUGCGUUAUCUUGAUCAUCAGCGGGUCUUGGCUCGUUCUGUUAAAAUCUGAAAUCAUGAACAAUCGCUAGUUCUUUACAGUCUGAUUUUCAAGGGGACAUAACGCUCAGAAACGAGCUUCUCAGGGAGCCAUGUGAGGAGGGAGAGACCGGCCCUGGAGGACCCGCAGGCUCACUGCCCCGUGGUGUGGACACUGUGCCUUUCUGCAGACAGAAAGGCCACUCACAGAUUGCAAGAUUGCAACCAAGUGCCACGGCCUUUAAAAACAGUCAAGUUUCCCUCGAAGAGUUCUUCCAGAAGAUAGGAGCCCGCACGCAUCCACCUCACCAGAACGUCGUUUGCCUUGGUGGCUGGGAGAAAUACUACAGACGAGACAAGAAGGCAGAUGACUGGGAGCACCCAGGGCCCUGCUUGCCUGGCUUCCGCCCUGGCCGGCCGCCAGCCCCAGCCCCAGCCCCCUCCGUCUCCACAGGCUCUCAGCCUGCGAGGGCCUCAGGGCCACCCCGCUACUCCCUCCCCCGAGGUAGGCAAGCACUUCAUCCUCUGGGUGAAUGGACCAGCCCCGGGAUCAGUGCAGAUACACUAAGGUUCUGCAGAGAGGCCACGGGCCUCAGGAAAGUGGAGGAGGGAGGGCUCCAACUGGGUUUUGGGUCCAAGUGCGAAGGAAGGCCGAGCUGGGGUCAAAGGUCACCGUGCUGAGAACUGGGGACCAAGAGCCGUCAGCUCCUAUGCUGCCUCUGUGCACAGCAUUUAACAUCUUGAUAAAACACAAAAAGAAGAAACUUAUAUGUUGCAGCAGGCUCUGCGAUUUCCAGGAGGAGAAGGCAAACCAGUCGGCCCACGGCAGUGGUCUCUGGAGCCUCUUCCCACCUGAGGGUCCCAAAGCAUGUUCUGUCCCUCUCCUGGAGGGUCAAAGCCCAGGCCCUUCCCAUCCUCCCUCCUUUUCUCUCGGUGCUGAGGGUUACAGCAGAGGCGGCUCAGUUAAGUGUGGCUACAGUAAGUGCUGGGCAGGUGGGCAGGGAGUCACCCACUCAGGGAGGGAGACCAUGGGGCCAGUGGGAGACCAUGGGGCCAGCGGGGACACUGGGUGUUUUGACUUGCAGCUUUCCUGGACGCCUGUGCAGGCAGAGUCAGAAUGGAGUCCAUGUCUGUUCCUUCAGUGAAGUGGCUGGUGGUAGAAGGGUGGCAGGCAGGCAGGGUGGCUGCUCCCUGGCUAUGUCUCCUGACUCAAAACUGGGCAUUCCUGGCCAGCCUGGCCAAGGCUCUCUCUGCCCACAUUGCAGUCUGGGCUCAGCCUGCCCCACCCCCUCCCCCCAUCCAAUGCCCAACCCAGGCCUCCCCCCACUCCUCCCCCCUCCCCCUCCCCUCUCCCCGGCCUUUCCCCGCUGAAUCCCCUGCACACAUGCUUCUUUCCAUUUGGGCAUCUCUUGGGAGGACCUCAAGUGACACCAUCAUUGGUCCCAAAUACUUGUCACCAAAUGAUAAAGAUCCAAACAGCUUUUUCAGGGGAAUUAAGACUAGUCUGGUCACUUAGGGCUCCUCCGGCUCCUGGAAAAAGCGUCAUCUACAAAUCCACUGUGGACUGAGUCAAGAAAGACACAGCGCAGGCACAACAGACAGAUGGAGGUGGCAGCUUAUCACCUGGAGCUCCUGAAGAAAUUAAAGAGGAGACACAUGGUGACGCAGCCCAUGGCCUGGCGUUUUCAGCGUCUCGGAAGCACUGACAGGGACCUGCAAGCUUAUGAGGAAUUGUUCAACACAAUGGGCUUCCUCAGAGCUUGGGAGACCAUUAAUGUGGAAGACACUAUCUGGACAUGUUUCUCUUUUUUCCACCUCUCUAGAUUUUAUUUCAGGAUCGGGGAGACUUCUGGAGUAGAAAAGCCACUCAAGAACCUUCCUCCUCCUCCCCCAUGCCCCGCCUCCCCCACGCCCCGCCGCAUAAGCAGCUGCCCUCCGAGCGAGCGGCAUGGAGUCCCCGCGUCCCGGCUCCACGGUGCAGGAGUCCUCCAUGGUGGUUGAAUUCGCCUUUCAGGCCCUAUGUUCAGGAUUUGUGAUCUGGGUUUUAAAAACAUUUUUUAGAAGUCAUUGGUAAUUAAAAACUAAGUUUUUUAUUGUGGUAAA